AAAGUCCCAAGAACCGGGUUCAACAAAAAAACCUAACGCCUCUCUGCAGCUAUUGGUUCAAGAGGAGAAAUGGAUCCGGUUUGAGGAACUUCUUCCCAAAUACUCAAAUCCCUAAUUUACAAGACAAGAAAUCAGAUACUGAAUCACGCGCGCCACCGUGAAUGAACCGAAGCUCCGCUGCACUCUUCUAAUCUUGGCAACGCAUUCAGAACCUUCAUCAUCCGCACACGUCCCUCAUUAAGAAACAGAUUCAAAUUUUCGCGCCAUCGUCAAUAGACCCCAGCAAGAUAGAUGAUGAUUUCGCGAGACAUCUCGAUACUCAAGUGAAAUGGGAUGGAAAUCUAGCACGCAAUAGAAAAAAAGCGAAGGGAGCAACACCUACCGACUCCGACAUGUUGUUGACGUCCGUUGUUCCCGAUGAAGAUGAACGGUGAAGCGUCGAAGACGUGAGAAGAUUCGUGGCUUGCGCUUUUCCUAAAUGAAGCGAUCGCAUAUUUGUUGAUGAAGGGCGUUGUAUUGAAGAGUGCGACACCGUUGAAUCUGUCGUGUUAUUGAAAGUGAAGAAUGAAGGAACAUUCUAGUCGAUUGAGUCGAAAAGCGUUGAUCCGUGCCCUUCCCUUCCUUGUGAGAUGGAGAAUUUAGGGAGUCCCUGGUAUGCCUUUCCUUUUUGUUUUCUGAUUUCCAAUUUCUUCCUUUAAUCUCCUUCUUGCUGAUUCUUCUUUUCGAUUCUGUGAUGCUUCUGUUUCUCCUUUUCAUCCCUUUUCUGUCAUCUGUUAGAGGAGUUAUAUGAGGUCGCCGAAGUAGUUGCAGAUUCUGUUUGAGUCAUGGAACUCGAGAAAGAUGAAGGAGUGUGAGGGAAGUGAGCAUUUUGUGAUAGUUUUGGGUGUAGUUCAGUUCUGUUGAGAAGUUCUGGUGUGAGUGAGAUCGAUUGGGGGAGGGGUUAGUUAUGGUUCGUUUUGUUUGUUAGAGAGAAAGGGGGUUUAAAGGUUGAACCUUGGAAGAAGGUUAGGGAUGAGGUUAGAUGGAAGAAGGUUAGAGAGGUUUUUUUGCGAUUUCUGUUAUGGGCGGUUAUGGAAAAGUUGUGAAUUGUUUUUUUUAUUCCCCCUUUUGGAGGGAGUUAUUGUUCUGUUAUAAGGGUUGUUAAGAGUUUGUUGAAUCAGUUGGGAAUUCGGUUACGAUUCUGCUAUAUGGAAAGUGGUUAGAGGUUGAGAGUCUUUCGGUUAGUGGUUGAGUUUUUUAUUUUAUUCUGUUGGAAUUGAGGGGGUUUUAUGAGAUGGAGUUGUUAUUGAAAAGGUCUAUUUGUUAAGGGUUGGAAUUCGGUUGGAAGGUUCUAGGAGGUUGAUGGAAGGUGAAACAGUUAGAAUUGUUAUCCGGUCUUGGAAUGGUUUUAAAGGUUUUAUGAGAAGUUUUGUUAUGAUUUUUCUGCAGCUAGUUUUGGAAAUUGGCCAUUGGGAUUAGCAGCUAUCUUAGCUUCAUGGUCUGCUAUCAGUAGUUUGAAUUUUGUUGUGGUUCUGUUAUGAAAAAUUGUUGCAGGGCAUUCAAGACCGACUUGGAGGUUUUGUGAAGGGAUUCCCUGAUUGGUUUGGUGAUGACUUGUUCGGUUAAAUGAGACAAAUGAUAUUGCAGAAAAAUGACCCAGAUGGUAUAACCUCAACUCCCCAUUUAAAACCUGUUGCUGCUUACUGUUGCACAUGGCUGUUUUUUACAGGUCUUGUUAUGUUAUCAUGGAUCAAGAUGGAUCAAAGCUUGGGGUGUAUUGGAUUGGUUUUGGAUUCUUGGACAUUAAGUUAUAAUUCUUGCAAAUUGAACUAGGGAUAUGUGAAUUGAAUGUAUUUGUAUGGUAUUUAGAAUUUGGUUUAUGUAAAUUAAGAAUGGAAUUUAAUGAAAAAGGGAAUUGAUUCCAUUUAUA